AUGGCGCUGGUGUCAUCUCUCCUGAUGUUGAUCUUGGGGCCAUUGAUCACAGAUGUCAUCCUGGUAAGCAAAAAGAUCUGGAGCUUCUUGCACACACUUACAAAAUACCUAGCGCAUGAUGACACCCUCGUCGUCGACUCUGUGGUGCUUGAUGAUAGCCCCACAUCAUUGCCAGCGAAAGUAGCUGGUGGUGGAGGAUUAACAUCUGGUGACAUAGAAAUUGUCACGGCGAGGCUAGGUCUUACCAGGUGGAGGCACCAAGGGUGUGAAGGAAUUAGUGUCGUAGAUGAGUUGAUGGAUGGUAAGCAAGCGAGCGAGGGCGAGCUGGAGGAGGCCUUCUGUGUUUUCGACCGUGAUGAGGACGGGUUCAUAUGCGCCGGUGAGUUGUGGAACGUGAUGAGGAGGCUUGGGUGGACAGAAGGGGCCAUGUAUGAGGACUGUGUGAGGAUGAUCCACCCCUUCGAUGAGGAUGGAGAUGGCAAGAUCAGCUUCAUAGAGUUUAGAAGGAUGAUGGAGAAUGCUGUUUAG
rnacentral:rRNA from 1 species